AGAACAACAAACAGGGCUUGCCUGCAUCCAGCCAUGCCAAGUCCGGCCCACGAGAACAACAACUUAACUUCAACUCUUCAAACUGGCAAGAAGAAAGCAAUGAAAACCCAAAGUGACGUGGGAACAGAGCAAUAGCUCCUAUUAAGAUAUGCUUUCCUCCUCAAACCCCACAUCCAGAAUUUCUCUGACACUGUUCAAGAUCACAAGGUGGUGGUAAGGAGAAGGGAUAUGUCUAAAGUCAUUCUGAUCAUCUGUCAAGGCCCAAAUUCAAACUAGAUUCAAACUGGACCCAAAAGACAUUUCUCUCAACUCCUGCUAAACAUCCACAAAGAAGGCAUCUCUCCAACCUUACCUUAGUAACAUUUUCUAAUGUAACUUACCACUUUCAUUUAAGAACGUUUUUUAUUGUUCAAUCAUCAUCUACAA